GCAUGCACAGCCACGUGGAGCGGGUGACUGACAGCACGACAGGGAUGAUUCCGCUCGGGCCGGCAGAUCACAGGCUCUAGCUGUUCAUCUCUCCCUCUGCCUUUCCUUCUGAAGCCUCAUUUUGGAUACAAACUAAAAUAUAACCUUCCUCCCUCCAUUUUUCUGCCUUGGUAUUCUCUAAACAAAAACAAAAGAGUGAUCAUCUCAGCGGAAAGGACUCAACUCUACUCAAGCUGAACGAAGGCAGGAAACGUCUUACAAGUGAACUCCCUAUACUAGUUCACUCGAUGUGUGUUUAAUGGGAAACGACGCUGCACCAAGUCCUCUUCUGUCACCAAGGAGCAGCAGGAGCAGAUGGGUGAAGUGUACGGUAUGUGAAUUAUACCUCAAUAGAGCUGCUACCAAACACAGAAAACAAGAAAGAAGAGAUGGGAGAAGCAGACAGCCCCAAGAGCCAGGGCCAGGGAGGUCUGUGAGCCCUGCGAACUAGCUCUGGAGUAUGAGGCAGGGGCCAGGGCAAGAUUGGGGGCAGCUGGGUAUAGGGCAGGUGGCCUGGAGCCCCCCGGGGACUUCCAGCCUGGACCGUGGGGUGUUGGCAGGAUCAUGAGGUCAGGAGCCAGCUCUCCAAGAUUCCAGUGAUGGCCUGGGCCCCAGAUUCCCCCUCCCUUAACAAAACCAGAGAGCAGACACAGUAAGGAAAGUCAGCCCCACUCCUGCUGUGCCACGAACAAGCACAGCACACACACUAAGAACCUUCCAGUAAGGACUUGCACCUUCCUGAAAUCAGGUGCCUGCGUCUGUCAUGAACGAAUCACCCAGGGUCCACAGCUCUGAGGACUGGAAGAGCCCACACAUUCUCGAGGACUGAGCUCUGCAUUUUCUAACUGAACAUCUUUGUGGCCUGCUGGCAGCAGCUCUUUCCCCACCGGUCACCUGGGACACUGAACUGACAGUGCAGCAGGGGUGAGGGGUCCCGGGAUGCUCAAUGUGAUGGCCAGGGUAAGUCUGACCCAGGCGUGACACCCACCGUGGCAUCAUCUGAAGCUGCUGCAGAAGCAGAGACCCGGGCUCCAUCCUCGGCGUGACCCCCAGGGAAGGUCACCUCACCCUGCAGGAGCACUGCAGGGAAUGCUCUGGAGAGUGUCCCCAAUCUUAAGGGGCCAAAAGCAGAGUUGUCAAGAACUUCAGAGGAGAAUGAGCAGGGCCUGGUGACACCUGACAUAGGCACUGGGGUGACACGGACCAAGGGGAAUUCUCAGACUGCUGCCUAAAGCUGGGUGCAAUCUUGGACUCAAGUGUUAGCAGUUAAUAUCCACAUUAUAUAAAGAACUGUCACAACUCAAGAAAGAAAAAGGAAAGCAACUCCAAAGAAAAAUGGGCAAAAGAGAGUUUUCUGAUGAAAACUGACUAUAGCUAAUAAGCAUUUAAAAGAUGCUAAAAUUUCCAAGUAAUCAAUAGAAUUGAUAAGACAAGCUUUAUUCACCCAACAGAUUAAGAAAAAAACUAAGAAAGGUGAAAUCUAAUGCUGGUGAAAGUGUGUGGGGGAAGCAGGCCCCCCUGGGCCAGCGGGACAGCAUGUGUUAAACUCUGCAAUGUGCACACUCUGACCCAUCGAUUCCAGCUGGAGGCCUCCAGCCAGCUCCCAAAUGCACAGCAGUGAGCACAGGCACUCAAGGACAUUCACUGCAGCAGGAAAUCUAUGGACAACCCAAAUGUCCUUCCAAAGAGCAAAAGUUGAUAAAUUAUUAAGUAAAUUAAACAACGCAGCAUCCACAGAAUAAGAUACUACACAGGCAGAGAAGACUAAGUCGAAGGAGUACGUUAACAAUGGGCAUCUGGAGGAUGGGGUUUUAGGAGAAGACUUUCAAAUAACUUUGUGUUAUGUUAAAAUACAAAAAAAUCAGAAAAAAAAUUCAAAGCAAACAGGUUGCUGAGUUGAUGGUAUGGACCCUUUUAGGUAAAAUAUAAAACCACAUCUCUGAGACAAACCUUUGUUCCCACAUCGGCCUGUAGCACAGACGACUGGCCCUCAGCUGCAGGUCGACUUCUGCCCUGGCCCCUCCACCUGCCCUCCAAGUGGCAGCCAAAAUGGCAGCCUGAGGAGCCCCUCCAUCCCAGGACCAAAGGUAAUUCCUGAACAAGGCCUGGCAGCACACGCUGGCCUACAUCUCAGGAACCUCCCCCAACCCCCUGGUCUCAGGUCCCUCUCUCCUCCCCCUCCUCACCCCCCAGCACCCAGUUAACUCCUGGUCACGCAUCAGCAAUCCAUCUGUGAAGCUUAUUCUGGCCCUUCCCUUCCCAGUUUCCAUGGGUCAAGGUUUUCAUAAUAACCCCGUGCUGUGCUUCAAAGAGCUCCUCUCUGUCUGAAAUUCAGUAUUUGUGUGACAUUACAUUAAUGUCUGUCCCCAGUUCUGAGUGCCACGAAAGCACAGAAUCGGCGCUGCACCCAAACUCCCCAUAGCAUCUGCAGCAAAGCUGAGCGCAAUAUACACAAAAGCAGAGAGAAGAGUAGACUGUAUGCUCACAAAGCGGUCAUCCAGCUGCAAUAACUCGGCUGCUGCCAUCUGUCUAUCCACCCCCCACACCUUCUUCCUUCUUCUUGUUCUACUCAGGAAAGCUUCAGUAUGUGCACGGAUGCACUUUCACACACACAAGUGCACAUAUAUAGGAGCUCUGUGUAGAUACUCAGGGGUCAUGGGGUACCCCGAACACACAACGAGCCUUCGUCACAGCCACCGUGAGUGCCACCCAGGCCUGUCUGCUGUGGGUCCUGGAGGCUGAGGCUGGAACCUUGGAAAGGCAGUGCCGCAGCUCAGGUGCUAAAGUUAUUUGGCCGCAAGCCGAGUAUCUCCGAGCACAGCGCGCUGUCACACCCUUCCCGACACGAACAAACACAAAGAGACGCACCCCAUUGAGUCACCUACUUGGCUGAACUGUGCACCUGGUCACCCUCCGGGGAGCUUCCUUCGUGGAUACCAAAUCAUUUUCACAAGCGGUGAGUUUUCACUGCAGCACCAUCCUCCUGAACCGAGCCACCUUGGGAUGCCUCUCAGUUCCCUGGGCAUAGGCACCCCCCUGGCUGCAGAGCCUACCCUCAACAUCUGGCCAACACCCAUUUCAGUAAACGGAGAAAACCCACCCCUGAUUUAGCCUGAACAAUAAGGAAUUAACAAGUCUACUCUGAAGAACGGUGAGGACUUCCCUGAUGGAGCAGUGGUUAAGAAUCUGCCUGCCAAUGCAAGGGACACGGGUUCAAGUGUACUGCAGAGCAACUAAGCCUGCGAGCCACAGCUACUGAGCACGCAUGCCACAACUUCUGAAGCCCACACGCGUAGAGCCCGUGCUCCGCAACGAGAGAAGCCACCACAAUGAGAAGGCCGUGCACCGCAACCAAGAGUAGCCCCCACUCGCCGCAACUAGAGAAAGCCCAUGCAUGGCAAUGAAGACCCAACUC